GGGAGGGAGCAGCUUUAAAACUCCCAAACCGAACCACCACUUAUACAUCAUCGGGCUCUAGAAAUUCCUUCUUGGCUGACUCACCACAGAAAAGGUUAUGCCAGCUCCCCCGCCAUUUCCCCCCUCGGCUGGGGGAUAGGAAGACAGAGGCGGUGAGCAAGCCCAUCUUCCUCCAUUUUCCUCCAAGGCACAGUCAGCCUGAAAAAAGAACCACCUUCUCUACUCCCACCGUGGCUGGGUCUCUCUGGGUCCUAGAGAGAGCUGGGUUUGGCAGACUCCCGGAGAUGGGGAAACAGAGGCACAGAAGUUCACCAACUUGUAAGCAGCAGAGCUGA
rnacentral:lncRNA from 1 species